GUGCCAGCCGCCGCGGUAAUACGUAGGUGACGAGCGUUAUCCGGAUUUAUUGGGCGUAAAGCGCGUGUAGGUGGCUUUUCAAGUCGGAUGUGAAAUCUCCCGGCUUAACUGGGAGGAGUCAUUCGAUACUGUUAGGCUAGAGGGCAGCAGAGGGAGGUGGAAUUCCCGGUGUAGUGGUGAAAUGCGUAGAUAUCGGGAGGAACACCAGUGGCGAAAGCGACCUCCUAGGCUGUUCCUGACGCUGAGGCGCGAAAGCGUGGGGAGCAAACACGAUUAGAUACCGUGGUAGUCCACGCCAUAAACGAUGGACACUAGGUAUGGGGGGUAUCGACCCCCUCCGUGCCGAAGCUAACGCGUUAAGUGUCCCGCCUGGGGAGUACGGCCGCAAGGCUAAAACUCAAAUGAAUUGACGGGG
rnacentral:rRNA from 1 species